rnacentral:rRNA from 1 species
AUUGAACGCUGGCGGCAGGCCUAACACAUGCAAGUCGAACGAGUGGCGGACGGGUGAGUAAUGUCUGGGAAUCUGCCUGGUAGUGGGGGAUAUCGUCCGGAAAGGGGCGCUAAUACCGCAUACUAUCAGAUGUGCCCAGAUGGGUUUAGCGUGUUGGUGGGGUAACGGCUCACCAAGGCGACGAUCCCUAUCUGGUCUGAGAGGAUGACCAGCCACACUGGAACUGAGACACGGCCCAGACUCCUACGGGAGGCAGCAGUGGGGAAUAUUGCACAAUGGGCGAAAGCCUGAUGCAGCCAUGCCGCGUGUAUGAAGAAGGCCUUCGGGUUGUAAAGUACUUUCAGCGGGGAGGCGUUACCCGCAGAAGAAGCACCGGCUAACUCCGUGCCAGCAGACGCGGUAAUAC